GGGUUGUGAGGUUAAGCGACUAAGCGUACACGGUGGAUGCCCUGGCAGUCAGAGGCGAUGAAGGACGUGCUAAUCUGCGAUAAGCGUCGGUAAGGUGAUAUGAACCGUUAUAACCGGCGAUUUCCGAAUGGGGAAACCCAGUGUGUUUCGACACACUAUCAUUAACUGAAUCCAUAGGUUAAUGAGGCGAACCGGGGGAACUGAAACAUCUAAGUACCCCGAGGAAAAGAAAUCAACCGAGAUUCCCCCAGUAGCGGCGAGCGAACGGGGAGCAGCCCAGAGCCUGAAUCAGUAUGUGUGUUAGUGGAAGCGUCUGGAAAGGCGCGCGAUACAGGGUGACAGCCCCGUACACAAAAAUGCACAUGCUGUGAGCUCGAUGAGUAGGGCGGGACACGUGGUAUCCUGUCUGAAUAUGGGGGGACCAUCCUCCAAGGCUAAAUACUCCUGACUGACCGAUAGUGAACCAGUACCGUGAGGGAAAGGCGAAAAGAACCCCGGCGAGGGGAGUGAAAAAGAACCUGAAACCGUGUACGUACAAGCAGUGGGAGCACAGAGCAAUCUGUGUGACUGCGUACCUUUUGUAUAAUGGGUCAGCGACUUAUAUUCUGUAGCAAGGUUAACCGAAUAGGGGAGCCGAAGGGAAACCGAGUCUUAACUGGGCGUUAAGUUGCAGGGUAUAGACCCGAAACCCGGUGAUCUAGCCAUGGGCAGGUUGAAGGUUGGGUAACACUAACUGGAGGACCGAACCGACUAAUGUUGAAAAAUUAGCGGAUGACUUGUGGCUGGGGGUGAAAGGCCAAUCAAACCGGGAGAUAGCUGGUUCUCCCCGAAAGCUAUUUAGGUAGCGCCUCGUGAAUUCAUCUCCGGGGGUAGAGCACUGUUUCGGCAAGGGGGUCAUCCCGACUUACCAACCCGAUGCAAACUGCGAAUACCGGAGAAUGUUAUCACGGGAGACACACGGCGGGUGCUAACGUCCGUCGUGAAGAGGGAAACAACCCAGACCGCCAGCUAAGGUCCCAAAGUCAUGGUUAAGUGGGAAACGAUGUGGGAAGGCCCAGACAGCCAGGAUGUUGGCUUAGAAGCAGCCAUCAUUUAAAGAAAGCGUAAUAGCUCACUGGUCGAGUCGGCCUGCGCGGAAGAUGUAACGGGGCUAAACCAUGCACCGAAGCUGCGGCAGCGACGCUGAUGCGUUGUUGGGUAGGGGAGCGUUCUGUAAGCCUGCGAAGGUGUGCUGUGAGGCAUGCUGGAGGUAUCAGAAGUGCGAAUGCUGACAUAAGUAACGAUAAAGCGGGUGAAAAGCCCGCUCGCCGGAAGACCAAGGGUUCCUGUCCAACGUUAAUCGGGGCAGGGUGAGUCGACCCCUAAGGCGAGGCCGAAAGGCGUAGUCGAUGGGAAACAGGUUAAUAUUCCUGUACUUGGUGUUACUGCGAAGGGGGGACGGAGAAGGCUAUGUUGGCCGGGCGACGGUUGUCCCGGUUUAAGCGUGUAGGCUGGUUUUCCAGGCAAAUCCGGAAAAUCAAGGCUGAGGCGUGAUGACGAGGCACUGCGGUGCUGAAGCAACAAAUGCCCUGCUUCCAGGAAAAGCCUCUAAGCAUCAGGUAACAUCAAAUCGUACCCCAAACCGACACAGGUGGUCAGGUAGAGAAUACCAAGGCGCUUGAGAGAACUCGGGUGAAGGAACUAGGCAAAAUGGUGCCGUAACUUCGGGAGAAGGCACGCUGAUAUGUAGGUGAAGUCCCUCGCGGAUGGAGCUGAAAUCAGUCGAAGAUACCAGCUGGCUGCAACUGUUUAUUAAAAACACAGCACUGUGCAAACACGAAAGUGGACGUAUACGGUGUGACGCCUGCCCGGUGCCGGAAGGUUAAUUGAUGGGGUUAGCGCAAGCGAAGCUCUUGAUCGAAGCCCCGGUAAACGGCGGCCGUAACUAUAACGGUCCUAAGGUAGCGAAAUUCCUUGUCGGGUAAGUUCCGACCUGCACGAAUGGCGUAAUGAUGGCCAGGCUGUCUCCACCCGAGACUCAGUGAAAUUGAACUCGCUGUGAAGAUGCAGUGUACCCGCGGCAAGACGGAAAGACCCCGUGAACCUUUACUAUAGCUUGACACUGAACAUUGAGCCUUGAUGUGUAGGAUA
rnacentral:rRNA from 1 species